rnacentral:rRNA from 1 species
CGGGACGGGUGAGUAAUGUCUGGGAAACUGCCUGAUGGAGGGGGGUAACUACUGGAAACGGUAGCUAAUACCGCAUAACGUCGCAAGACCAAAGAGGGGGACCUUCGGGCCUCUUGCCAUCGGAUGUGCCCAGAUGGGAUUAGCUAGUGGGUGGGGUAACGGCUCACCUAGGCGACGAUCCCUAGCUGGUCUGAGAGGAUGGCCAGCCACACUGGAACUGAGACACGGUCCAG